CAGUCGCCGCGGUAAUACGAAGGGGGCUAGCGUUGUUCGGAAUUACUGGGCGUAAAGCGCACGCAGGCGGCUCGAUAAAUUAGAAGUGAAAGCCUUGGGCUUAACCUGAGAAUUGCUUUUAAGACUGUCGAGCUAGAAUCCAGAAGAGGGUAGUGGAAUUCCGAGUGUAGAGGUGAAAUUCGUAGAUAUUCGGAAGAACACCAGUGGCGAAGGCGACUACCUGGUCUGGCAUUGACGCUCAUGUGCGAAAGCGUGGGGAGCAAACAGGAUUAGAUACCCCAGUAGUCCCUGUCUCUUAUAU
rnacentral:rRNA from 1 species